GACGAACGCUGGCGGCGUGCUUAACACAUGCAAGUCGAACGGAAAGGCCCUGCCUUUGUGGGGUGCUCGAGUGGCGAACGGGUGAGUAACACGUGAGUAACCUGCCCUUUACUUUGGGAUAACUUCAGGAAACUGGGGCUAAUACCAGAUAGGAGCUCCUGCUGCAUGGUGGGGGUUGGAAAGUUUCGGCGGUUGGGGAUGGACUCGCGGCUUAUCAGCUUGUUGGUGGGGUAGUGGCUUACCAAGGCUUUGACGGGUAGCCGGCCUGAGAGGGUGACCGGCCACAUUGGGACUGAGAUACGGCCCAGACUCCUACGGGAGGCAGCAGUGGGGAAUAUUGCACAAUGGGCGGAAGCCUGAUGCAGCAACGCCGCGUGCGGGAUGACGGCCUUCGGGUUGUAAACCGCUUUCGCCUGUGACGAAGCGUGAGUGACGGUAAUGGGUAAAGAAGCACCGGCUAACUACGUG
rnacentral:rRNA from 1 species